UCUUAGAUGUAAACUGAUAAAUAUUCUACCAGAGUACUACGAACAUCUUGUUUAAAACUCAAAGGACUUGGCGGUGCUUUAGACUCCUCAGGGGAACCUGUUUCGUAAUCGACAGUCCACGUUACACCUUCCCCUUACUUGCAAAAUCAGUAUGUAUACCGUCGUCGUCAGGUAACUUUUAAGAAUUAAAAAGUUAGCUAUAAAAUUAAUUAUAAAUUUUAACGUCAGAUCAAGGUGCAGCUCAUUUAAGGGAGAGAAUGGGUUACAAUUAGAAGUUAUAACUAUGGAAAAGAGAGUGAAAUCUCUCUUGGAAGGAGGACUUGAAAGUAAAAGAACCAUGAUAAAAGUUAUUUGAAUCAUUUAGCUCUGAAGCGUGC
rnacentral:rRNA from 1 species